CUUCCAGGCAAACCACGCAAAAUAUCCGCGAUGGCGUGUCGAACCGUGCGGCGCUCCUCCGUCCUCCUCUCGGAGCCAUGGCCAUGGCGCCCCCCCUCCCUCCACCGACCUCCUCCUCUCCUUCUCCGACCAUCUAGGGCUACGGUUUUCCACGGAGCUUCCCUUCUUCGGUGCUCCCAUAGCGAGGCGCCGUCGCCCACCUCUUCCUCUUCUUCUUCCUCUCCUCAGGAUGACCAGGGUCCGCCCCAGGAGGCCGUCCUCAAGGCCAUCUCCGAAGUAUCAAAGUCUGAAGGAAGGGUUGCACAAACCACAAAUAUUGUCAUUGGUGGUACAGUGACAGAUGAUGCUAGCAAUGAAUGGCUUGUUCUAGAUCAGAAGGUAAACUCAUAUCCCAUGACAAGAGGGUUCACUGCAAUAGGAACCGGAGGUGAUGAUUUUGUCCAAGCAAUGGUUGUUGCUGUUGAAUCUGUACUUCAGCAACCAAUUCCAAAGGGUCGUGUGACUCAGAAACUGUCUUCAAGGGGCAAGUAUGUAUCCGUAAACAUUGGACCUAUUCGUGUUGUCUCCAGUGAGCAGGUCCAAGCUGUAUAUAAUGCCAUGAGGAGGGAUGACAGAAUGAAGUAUUUUUUGUAGACUGCAUUGACAUGUUUAUCCAUAAAAUAGUCCCCAUGCUUUGGCGUCCUAGGAUUGCUGUAGCUCCAUUUUAGCUUUAGUAAUCUACAGCAAUCUGUCAUGUGGGCAACCAGGUCUCAGGUUUGAGUUGGAAGCUAUAGCUCGUGCUCUUUUUACUUUGUUUCUUAUCCGAAGAAUCAAGAAGGUGAUAUGUAUUAAAAUCCAUUCAAUGGUGAUUCUAGAUAACUUAAACCUAUAGAUUAAUAUUUAUUUAAAAUGAAGAGACUAUGUUUAGUUGUUGUAACAAUAAUGGCAGAUAAAUUUUUUUUUCAAUUAUUAGUUAAUACUGCUGAUUCUAAGAGAAAUUAAUUGUGGUCAGACUGCUGUAUUUUUUUGCCAUGGCAUGUUGACUGAAAGAAUCUAGGGUGUAAUUGGUGUGUGAAUCUAUCUUGUCAGACGAA